UACGAAGGGGGCGAGCGUUGUUCGGAUUUACUGGGCGUAAAGGGCGCGCAGGCGGCUUUGUUUGUCAGGCGUGAAAGCCCCGGGCUUAACCUGGGAACUGCGUUUGAUACGGCAGGGCUAGAGUUCGGGAGAGGAGAGUGGAAUUCCCAGUGUAGAGGUGAAAUUCGUAGAUAUUGGGAAGAACACCGGUGGCGAAGGCGGCUCUCUGGACCGAUACUGACGCUGAGGCGCGAAAGCGUGGGGAGCGAACAGG
rnacentral:rRNA from 1 species